rnacentral:lncRNA from 1 species
GGGAGGGGGUUAAAGGUUUGGGGGUGGGGGGGUGGUGGUGGAGAUUGGGGAUUUAGGGUUGAGGAGAAAAGAAUGGGGGUUUUGGAGAUUCUGGGGUCGAGUGGAGGGGUGUUAAAGCUGUUUUAAUUUUUUUUUAAAUAAAAGACUUGGACCAAAACGACGUCGUUUUGGCCAGGUCAUUUAAAAAGAAAAUUCGCUAGGCCAGAACUACGUCGUCUUGGCCAACUCAUUUAAAAAAAAAAUUUAAUUGCUGGGCCAAAACUACGUCGUUUUGGCCAACUCAUUUAAAAUAAAAUACAAACUGCUUGGCCAGCAUGUUUAUAAAUAAAUAAAUAAAUAAUAAAAUAAAAACCACGCUGGGCAACUUCUUCUUCCUUACACCCGCAACCCUUUCCUUCAGUCCAUUCAUGGGGUCACACAAUCAGGUAAAGAGGACCUUCUAACUUGUUUUCAUGGAGUCCAUAGGGUCGUUUGACCUCAUUGACCCCACUGUGGGUCCGUCCCUGCUUCAAAGUGAAUAGGUAUAUUGGGUCAUACUUGCUUUUUAUAAUAAAAUAUCAUAUGCACUCUCUCACUCACUUUCUAUAAAAUAUAAUAGUAAAAUAUAAAAGAUAAAAAUAAAUAAUAUAAUAAUAGUUUGUAUACUUGCAUUUAGGGAUGGGCAUGGUAUGGUAUUGAGCUCGUAUCAC